GUGACAGUUAAUACAGAGACAGAUAAUCAAGGUUCCACUGUAUAGUGAAAUUUGGACACCCGACACCCCAUACAAAUUUUAUGGGGGUUUUGUUCGUUUAAACCCCCCCAAACUUUUGUGUAAGUUACAAUUGAAUUAUUAUUGUGGUACUGUUAAACACAAUGUUUUUAAAACUUUUUGGCCUCUUAGUACUUUUUUGAAGUCAGUUUUUAUCGUAAUAUUUUGAAUAUUUGUCAAAUCCACCACAUAUUUGUAUAUGGUUAAGUACGAUUGUAGAGACUAAUAAUAUGAAAAUUUAUUUAUGAUUUACAUUUUUAGGUAUAUUUUGAACCAUUUUAAAAAGAAGCCAUAUCUUGAUAAAAAGAGCUUUAUCGAAAAAAUAUAAAGAGGUAAAAAAGUUUUAAAAACACAGUGUUUAACUAAUGGUACCGCAGAAAUAAUUUAAUUGGAACGUACCCAAAAGUUUGGGGGGGUUAAAGGGAACAAAACCCCCAUAAAAUUUUUAUGGGGUGCACAAAUUUCACUAUAAUUUUUCUUUAAGAUGUUACUGCAAUAAUAUUGCUUCAUGUCCAUUUUCAAUAAAAAAUCUUUAAUAAUUUUCGAUAUAUUCGAAAAAAUCAAUUUUUAUUUUGUAUCUUCAAAGGGCUGUAACUUUUUUUGUGUGCAUAUUUGUACUAAGGUAAGUUAGGUUCAUUCAAAUUAUUUUUGGUCCCAGAAUAUGUGAUUUAAUUUACGACCAAUCUUUUCGGGACACCCUGUAUAAUAAAUGGGAUUAGCUGGCUUAAAAAUUCAUAAUCUACGUUCUGUAGAAAAUAUACAGUUUUUGGUUUCUUUUUAACUAGAUCUUAAUAUCUAACCAAGCAUUUUAAGACCUUUUUAUUAUUUUUUCGAUGAUAUAUUCAUGUUUUUAGUUUGUUCAAAAUAUUCUAGAUGAUUGUACACUAUAAUAGAUAGCCAACUAAAUAAACACAAAAAUUUUAUUUUUGCUACAGCCUGUAUAUAAGUUUACCUAUAUAUACAGUGCAUUACGCACCACCUUAAAAAUUGGGCAUUUUUGAUGUCUCGAAUUUCCUAAACCUGUUGUCCCAUCUAAGUGAUUUUUUUAUAAUAAUAUAGCCUGAGGCUAUAGGUUACUGCCUUAUGCUUGUCAUGCACGGGGAGCUAUACUGUAAUAUACAUUAUAUCACGUCGCUCUCUAUAGUAAUGAGUGAGCCUGCACAUACGGAACCAUUAGUUCCCUGUCUGCAGGCUCACUCAUUACUAUAGAGAGCGAUAUGAUAUAAUAUACAUAUAUUACAGUAUAGCUACCAGUGCAUGACAAGCUUAAGGAUGUAACCUAUAGCCUAGGCUAUAUUAUAAAAAAAUCACUCAGAUGAGACAACAGGUUUAGAAAAUUCGAGACAUCAAAAAUGCCCUAUUUUUAAGGUGGUGCGUUAAUUUCUUGGAGAAGUGUAUUGUAAUUUAAUGUAAAUAAUGUAAUAUCCAAUAAUUGUAAUUUAAUAUAAGAUGUAAUAUAAGUUCCUUAAAAA